rnacentral:rRNA from 1 species
UACGGGGGGGGCAAGCGUUGUCCGGAAUCACUGGGCGUAAAGGGCGCGUAGGCGGCGCGGUAAGCGCGCGGUGAAAGUCCGGGGCUCAACCCCGGAUCGGCCGUGCGGACUGCCGCGCUCGAGCACUGUAGGGGCGGGUGGAACUCCGGGUGUAGCGGUGGAAUGCGUAGAGAUCCGGAAGAACACCGGUGGCGAAGGCGGCCGGCUGGCAGUGGCUGACGCUGAGACGCGAAAGCGUGGGGAGCGAACGGG